rnacentral:rRNA from 1 species
UACGUAGGGUGCGAGCGUUAAUCGGGAAUUACUGGGCGUAAAGCGUGCGCAGGCGGUUGUGCAAGACAGGUGUGAAAUCCCCGGGCUUAACCUGGGAACUGCGCUUGUGACUGCACGACUAGAGUACGGUAGAGGGGGGUGGAAUUCCUGGGUGUAGCAGUGAAAUGCGUAGAUAUCAGGAGGAACAUCGAUGGCGAAGGCAGCCCCCUGGACCUGUACUGACGCUCAUGCACGAAAGCGUGGGGAGCAACAGG